CCUACGGGUGGCUGUAGUAGGGAAUAUUAGUAAUGGGCGCAAGCCUGAACUAGCAACACCGCGUGUGCGAAGAAGGCCUUCGGGUUGUAAAGCACUUUUUGAGAGGAUGAGGAAGGACGGUACUCUCAGAAUAAGUCUCGGCUAACUACGUGCCAGCAGCCGCGGUAACACGUAGGAGGAAAACGUUAUCCGGAUUUACUGGGCGUAAAGCGCGUGUAGGUGGUUUGGUAAGUAGAGCGUGAAAGCUCCUGGCUCAACUGGGAGAGGUCGUUCUAAACUGCCGGACUAGAGGGUGGUAGAGGGAGGUGGAAAUCCGGGUGUAGCGGUGGAAUGCGCAGAUAUCCGGAGGAACACCAGUGGCGAAGGCGGCCUCCUGGACCACUCCUGACACUCAGACGCGAAAGCUAGGGUAGCAAACG
rnacentral:rRNA from 1 species